rnacentral:rRNA from 1 species
UACGAAGGGGGCUAGCGUUGCUCGGAAUCACUGGGCGUAAAGCGCACGUAGGCGGAUUGUUAAGUCAGGGGUGAAAUCCUGGAGCUCAACUCCAGAACUGCCUUUGAUACUGGCGAUCUCGAGUCCGGGAGAGGUGGAGUGGAACUGCGGAGUGUAGAGGUGAAAAUUCGUAGAUAUUCGCAAGAACACCAGUGGCGAAGGCGGCUCACUGGCCCGGUACUGACGCUGAGGCGCGAAAGCGUGGGGAGCAAACA